AUUGAACGCUGGCGGCAUGCUUUACACAUGCAAGUCGAACGGCAGCACGGGGGCAACCCUGGUGGCGAGUGGCGAACGGGUGAGUAAUGCAUCGGAACGUGCCCCGUCGUGGGGGAUAACACAUCGAAAGAUGUGCUAAUACCGCAUACGACCUGAGGGUGAAAGCGGGGGACCGCAAGGCCUCGCGCGAUGGGAGCGGCCGAUGUCUGAUUAGCUAGUUGGUGGGGUAAAGGCCUACCAAGGCGACGAUCAGUAGCUGGUCUGAGAGGACGACCAGCCACACUGGGACUGGGACACGGCCCAGACUCCUACGGGAGGCAGCAGUGGGGAAUUUUGGACAAUGGGGGCAACCCUGAUCCAGCCAUGCCGCGUGCGGGAAGAAGGCCUUCGGGUUGUAAACCGCUUUUGGCAGGAACGAAACGGUGCGGGCGAAUACCCUGUGCUAAUGACGGUACCUGCAGAAUAAGCACCGGCUAACUACGUGCCAGCCGCCGCGGUAAGAC
rnacentral:rRNA from 1 species